GAACUGUAGAGUUUGAUCCUGGCUCAGAUUGAACGCUGGCGGAAUGCUUUACACAUGCAAGUCGAGCGGCAGCGCGGGGCAACCUGGCGGCGAGCGGCGAACGGGUGAGUAAUACAUCGGAACGUGCCCAGACGUGGGGGAUAGCCCGGCGAAAGCCGGAUUAAUACCGCAUGUGAUCUGAGGAUGAAAGCGGGGGAUCGCAAGACCUCGCGCGUUUGGAGCGGCCGAUGGCAGAUUAGGUAGUUGGUGGGGUAAAGGCUUACCAAGCCUGCGAUCUGUAGCUGGUCUGAGAGGAUGAUCAGCCACACUGGGACUGAGACACGGCCCAGACUCCUACGGGAGGCAGCAGUGGGGAAUUUUGGACAAUGGGCGCAAGCCUGAUCCAGCCAUUCCGCGUGCAGGACGAAGGCCCUCGGGUUGUAAACUGCUUUUGUACAGAACGAAAAGGCUCUGGCUAAUACCUGGGGCUCAUGACGGUACUGUAAGAAUAAGCACCGGCUAACUACGUGCCAGCAGCCGCGGUAAUACGUAGGGUGCAAGCGUUAAUCGGAAUUACUGGGCGUAAAGCGUGCGCAGGCGGUUUUGUAAGACAG
rnacentral:rRNA from 1 species